ACACACACACACACACACACACCCUAAUGACUCUUUCCUGGUCAGUUACAGUUAGUCCAUACCCCAUUUGUGUGUGUGUGUGUGUGUGUGUGUGUGUGU
rnacentral:miRNA from 1 species